rnacentral:pre_miRNA from 1 species
CUAGACGGUCGGAUCCACCGGUGGGGAGGGUGGGGUGGUCGGAUCCAGCGGCCAUGUCUUCCUCCCCGGCAGAUCCGUCAGCGGUA